rnacentral:rRNA from 1 species
UAGUCCACGCCGUAAACGAUGGAUACUAGCUGUCCGGGUCCUUGAGACCUGGGCGGCCAAGCGAAAGUGAUAAGUAUCCCACCUGGGGAGUACGUUCGCAAGAAUGAAACUCAAAGGAAUUGACGGGGGCCCGCACAAGCGGUGGAGCAUGUGGUUUAAUUCGAUGAUACGCGAGGAACCUUACCAGGGCUUAAAUGCAUAUUGACAGGGCUAGAGAUAGCUUUUCCUUCGGGCAAUUUGCAAGGUGCUGCAUGGUUGUCGUCAGCUCGUGCCGUGAGGUGUCAGGUUAAGUCCUAUAACGAGCGCAACCCCUGUCGUUAGUUGCCAGCGAGUCAUGUCGGGGACUCUAACGAGACUGCCGGUGCAAACCGUGAGGAAGGUGGGGAUGACGUCAAAUCAUCACGGCCCUUACGUCCUGGGCCACACACGUGCUACAAUGGUAGGGACAGAGAGCAGCCACUGUGCGAACAGGAGCGAAUCUAUAAACCCUAUCACAGUUCGGAUC